rnacentral:rRNA from 1 species
CCUACGGGAGACAGCAGUGAGGAAUAUUGGUCAAUGGGCGGGAGCCUGAACCAGCCAAGUCGCGUGAGGGAAGACGGUCCUAUGGAUUGUAAACCUCUUUAGGCGGGGAGCAAUGCCGGGCACGCGUGCCCGGAGGGAGAGUACCCGCAGAAUAAGCAUCGGCUAACUCCGUGCCAGCAGCCGCGGUAAUACGGAGGAUGCGAGCGUUAUCCGGAUGUAUUGGGUUUAGAGGGUGCGUAGGCGGAUUUUUAAGUCAGCGGUAAAAUGUCCGGGCUCAACCCGGGCCGGCCGUUGAAACUGGGGAUCUUGAGUGGGCGAGAAGUAUGCGGAAUGCGUGGUGUAGCGGUGAAAUGCAUAGAUAUCACGCAGAACUCCGAUUGCGAAGGCAGCAUACCGGCGCCCGACUGACGCUGAGGCACGAAAGCGUGGGGAUCGAACAGGAUUAGAUACCCGAGUAGUC